GACGAACGCUGGCGGCGUGCCUAAUACAUGCAAGUAGAACGCAGUUGCGAACGGGUGAGUAACGCGUAGGUAACUGCCUCAUAGCGGGGGAUAACUUUUGGAAACGAUAGCUAAUAACGCAUACUGUGAGAUGGACCUGCGUUGUAUUAGCUAGUUGGGGGGGUAAAGGCUCACCAAGGCGACGAUACAUAGCCGACCUGAGAGGGAGGUUGGGCAACAUGGGGCGGAGACAAGGCCCAGACUACUACAGGGAGCAGCAGUAGGGAAAUAUCGUAAAUGGAGGGAAAGCUUACCGAGCAACGCCGCGGGAGUGGAGAAGGUUUUCGGAGCGGAAAGCUCUGUUUUUAGAGAAGCGGUAACUAACCAGAAAGGGACGGCUAACUACGUGCCAGCAGCCGCGGUAAUUC
rnacentral:rRNA from 1 species